rnacentral:misc_RNA from 1 species
UCCGGCUUAUCACCGGCAGUUUCCCUAUAGUUCCCGACAUUACUCGCUGGCAAAUAAGGAUGAGGGUUGCGCUCGUUGCGGGACUUAACCCAACAUCUCACGACACGAGCUGACGACAGCCGUGCAACACCUGUGUGCGGUCCGGCCUAACCGACGGAUAAUAUCUCUACUAUCCUCGACCGCCAUGUCAAGGGUUGGUAAGGUUUUUCGCGUAACAUCGAAUUAAACCGCAUGCUCCACCGCUUGUGCGAGCCCCCGUCAAUUCCUUUGAGUUUUAAUCUUGCGACCGUACUCCCCAGGCGGAGCGCUUAACGCGUUAGCUACGAAACCGGGAAUAAAUCCCCGAUAUCUAGCGCUCAUCGUUUAGGGCGUGGACUAC